CCGCGUUCCUGUGUAUAUGUCUAUCGAUGGCGCUGAAUGCAAAAUUAGGUAUUCAGUUCCUACAUGCUGUUUGAGUUUAGUUCAAAGAUGGGACCAAGAUGGGCCCAAAAUAUUUAAAGGGAUGAUGUCAUGCCAGUGUAAGUGUGAUUAGCCAUGACAAGCCGUUUGAAAAUCUUCCUUUCCCGGUACCCUAGUGACAUCCUUAUUGGGCCUACCUAGAUCUAUGCUGGAUAGAUCAGUCCACCAGCCUACCAAGUGGACUCAAUGGACUGUUGCUUAUCUAUCAAUCAUACAUCUAGGUGGACACGCCCACUAGUGAUGUCACUAGGGCACAGGGAAAGGCAGAUUUUCAAACGGCUUGUAAUGUCUAAUCACACUCACACAUGGUGGAAUGAUAUCACCCCUUUCCGACCGAGUCACAGAUUAUCAAAAAAUGAGGUAAAAUAAAAAAAGGUAAUACGAAUGAAUGUGGCUAGUGUUUUUUUUUUGGAGAUUUAAAUAAAUGCCAUUAAAGAAGGCAUUGGUGUGAAAGAAAGAGAUGGCUCGCUAUGUUUUUGAAUGUCUUUGUAUUAGAUUAAAUAUCUUAGCCUCAAGCAUUGUAUCCUUUUUGACCGAUAUUGCAAGCUUUUUAUUUUAGUUUGAGACCACUGCUGAUGAUGAUGUCAGAUAACAAAGUUUAUUAACUGUGCCAAUGUGGAUAUCUCAUAGCGAUGUACUUUUAAAUAAAGUAGUGGAUGUUA